GGCGCUGUAGUGUAGUGGUUAUCACUCGGGAUUUUGAAAUGAAGUUUCCCGUAACCCAGGUUCGAACCCUGGCAGUGCCU